rnacentral:tRNA from 1 species
UAGAAAGUGGUGUAGAGGGAGCACUAAGAGUUUUGAUCUCUUUGGGUAGGGUUCGAAUCCCUUCUUUUUAA